GUCUACGACCAUGCCACCCUGAAUGUGCCCGAUCUCAUCUGAUCUUGAAAGCUAAGCAGGGUCGGGCCUGGUUAGGUCUUGGAUGGGAGACCACCUAAGAAGACCAGGUGCCAUAGGCA
rnacentral:rRNA from 1 species